AUCUAUUUGACGAGUCCCAAGUUGAACGAAACACGCGUCUUGGAU
rfam:Schistosoma rodhaini strain Burundi genome assembly, scaffold: SROB_scaffold0001463